rnacentral:misc_RNA from 1 species
ACAAAAAGCAAAUCGGGCUCGUUGGCAGAGCACCGAGGCAAGGGCAACGAAAACACAGCCGAGGGGUUGCUGCACAAAACAAAUGCCGGAUCGACCUCGAACGCCGAGCGACCAGGUCGCUAGGCCGAGGGAUACGGCGACUCGCUGGGUUUUGAUAAAACCCAAGCGCCUUGGGCCGUCGAAGCCUCCUCGUGGGGCUACGUCGCCUUAAGUACAGACGAGCUCGACCGCGGCCCCGGGCUACCGGAACGGUGGGUCGCAAAACACUAUAGCACUCGGCAUCGUCGGGAGGUUGGCCUCGACGUUAUAAGCACCCGAGUAUGUACUUUCUCACGUAUACCGAUAGUUUUUACACAAAACCCGGGGCGGAGUCGGGAGGCAGGCAAGUCCUCCCCCUCUGCUUUUUUCGGGGGUCGGCCGGCGUACCUCGUUGCGCGCCGCGACCGACCGAAUUGGCAUCUUACUUUUUGA